rnacentral:rRNA from 1 species
GUGAACGCUGGCGGUAGGCCUAACACAUGCAAGUCGAACGGCAGCACAGUAAGAGCUUGCUCUUACGGGUGGCGAGUGGCGGACGGGUGAGGAAUACAUCGGAAUCUACUUUUUCGUGGGGGAUAACGUAGGGAAACUUACGCUAAUACCGCAUACGACCUACGGGUGAAAGCAGGGGAUCUUCGGACCUUGCGCGAUUGAAUGAGCCGAUGUCGGAUUAGCUAGUUGGCGGGGUAAAGGCCCACCAAGGCGACGAUCCGUAGCUGGUCUGAGAGGAUGAUCAGCCACACUGGAACUGAGACACGGUCCAGACUCCUACGGGAGGCAGCAGUGGGGAAUAUUGGACAAUGGGCGCAAGCCUGAUCCAGCCAUACCGCGUGGGUGAAGAAGGCCUUCGGGUUGUAAAGCCCUUUUGUUGGGAGAGAAAAGCAGCAGGUUAAUACCCCGCUGUUCUGACGGUACCCAAAGAAUAAGCACCGGCUAACUUCGUG